UGAGAGUACAGUACAAUUUUAGAAUUCUUUCAUGACAAUAUUACACGUAUCAUCCCGCCAUUUUCCUUAUCAAUGAUAAUAAUCACAUUUAUAUGUUAGAUUCCUAAUACUCUCAGAGAUAUCAGCAAUAACAUAUAAUAAAAGGUUUGUGUUUCAUUAUUAAUAUCUAACUUUCUAUAUAAACAUUGUUCCUAAUUAAUAGCAAUUGUAAUCCCACAUGAAGAUCACCAAUUCAUAGCAAGUAUUUCCUCCUACUUCCCUUCCAAUAAUUAAUCCAGGGUUCCCAUAUUUUUAGAUAUUUCUGUUUUUCAUUAUUUGCUCCAUAAAAUAAUUCAUCCAUCGCUCAACUCCAUUCUCAACUCUAUCUAGUUGGUAUACGUGUCUUUUUAACACGUUGCACUUAUUGACUUCCAACCAUAUUCACCAUACAGUCAUACACCAAACUAGUCAAACUCAUCCAUCCAAUCACAUACUCCAAACUGGUCUCAUUCAUUCAUCCAUCCAAUCACAUACUCCAAACUGGUCUCAUUCAUUCAUCCAUCCAAUCACAUACUCCAAACUGGUCUCAUUCAUUCAUCCAUCCAAUCACAUACUCCAAACUGGUCUCAUUCAUUCAUCCAUCCAAUCACAUACUCCAAACUGGUCUCAUUCAUUCAUCCAUCCAAUCACAUACUACAAACUGGUCUCAUUCAUUCAUCCAUCCAAUCACAUACUCCAAACUGGUCUCAUUCAUUCAUCCAUCCAAUCACAUACUCCAAACUGGUCUCAUUCAUUCAUCCAUCCAUCCAAUCAAACACACACACAGCAUCAUAUGUAUUUAAUGGGUGGGGAUCAUUGAGGAAACUGGCCUUGGAGCAGCAGAGAGGGUAAAUCCAGCCGUGACAGUAAUACCCUUAUUAACAGUCUGCAGUAUUUUAGAAUGCUAAAGGGGGCUAUAUAGUGAUCCAUUUUAGAAUUCACACUCGCAAUUCUGGCAUAUUGAUUUAUUGGGCCCAUACUUAGGCAAAGCUCAGGUUUCAUAAAGAUCUUUGGAGGAGGCAAACGUUACCCGAUUUGGGACACCAAUAACGGAACACUGCAUAAAGGAAUGCUGGACCAUAGCUUAUUCAAUGAAUAUGACAGAAUAACAACACCCAGUCACAUGUCUCAUCAUGCCAUAUUAUGUGCCAAACUCAGCGAUUUCACAUGGGGGAUUUUGUGUCUCUACCCACAGAUGUUUCAUAACAAAUUUCUGAUUUAUUUAGCAGUAAUUUGUGUGGUUUUCCUACACAUUGCAUUUUUGUGUUGAAAGCCAUGAUGUGUCCUAUUACUAUAAAGUUCCAGAUUUGUAUUCAGUUGAACUCCCCAAGACCCAAGUAAAUCGAUUCGCUCAUAUAUUGCUGAGUCGGGUUUCAGGGAGGUCAUGGGGUCACAUUAAAGAAAGUUAUUCAUGUUGAUGGACUGAUUAGUUGGAUUAACAUCUUCACUGAAACAGAAUAACAGGACCCAAUUCAUAUAAUCUCAUGUUGAAUUAGUAUUCUGAAAAGUAAAAUCUGCAGGCUAUUUCACAUGAGUUGUUGGGAGUCCUUUCAUUAGGCCUGCUAAAUGACACUUUCUGCCAAAAUUGUGCUCUUUCCACUCCUUGUGGUUUCACUGUGAAUUUUGUUGGUGUUAAUAUAUCCCAUAAAUGUAAACAUUGUCACCUAAUUUGCAUUCAGCUCUAUACUCUAGCUGCAUCAUUUACGUCUCUCAAAAAUUCCAUUACCAGUUUUGUGUUAUGGAAUCAAAUUAAGACACGCCCACAUUUUGACGUGUCUCUUAACUUGCCUCCUACUGACGCAAUUUAUCAUUACACUCGCCAUCUUUGCUUUACCAGCUACCCAGCACUGAUCACAGUGCAAUAGGCUACGAAAGCAUGCUCGAUUCAUUAAUACAGGAAAAUGUUCCUGUAAUACUGUAAAAAAUCCAGUAGAUGACAG